rnacentral:rRNA from 1 species
UACGUAGGUGGCAAGCGUUGUCCGGAUUUACUGGGCGUAAAGAGCGCGCAGGCGGUCGUUCAAGUCGCGUGUGAAAGCCCCCGGCUCAACUGGGGAGGGUCACGCGAUACUGAUCGACUGGAAGGCAGGAGAGGGUAGUGGAAUUCCCGGUGUAGUGGUGAAAUGCGUAGAUAUCGGGAGGAACACCGGUGGCGAGGGCGGCGCUCUGGACCGAGACUGACGCUGAGGCGCGAAGGCGUGGGGAGCAAACAGG